rnacentral:rRNA from 1 species
AUUGAACGCUGGCGGCAGGCUUAACACAUGCAAGUCGAGCGGGGAAAGGUAGCUUGCUACCUGACCUAGCGGCGGACGGGUGAGUAAUGCUUAGGAAUCUGCCUAUUAGUGGGGGACAACAUUCCGAAAGGAAUGCUAAUACCGCAUACGUCCUACGGGAGAAAGCAGGGGAUCUUCGGACCUUGCGCUAAUAGAUGAGCCUAAGUCAGAUUAGCUAGUUGGUGGGGUAAAGGCCUACCAAGGCGACGAUCUGUAGCGGGUCUGAGAGGAUGAUCCGCCACACUGGGACUGAGACACGGCCCAGACUCCUACGGGAGGCAGCAGUGGGGAAUAUUGGACAAUGGGCGAAAGCCUGAUCCAGCCAUGCCGCGUGUGUGAAGAAGGCCUUUUGGUUGUAAAGCACUUUAAGCGAGGAGGAGGCUACUUAGAUUAAUACUCUAGGAUAGUGGACGUUACACGCAGAAUAAGCACCGGCUAACUCUGUGCCAGCCGCCGCGGUAAGAC